rnacentral:rRNA from 1 species
AAUGGGGGCAACCCUGAUCCAGCCAUGCCGCGUGAGUGAAGAAGGCCUUCGGGUUGUAAAGCUCUUUCGGACGGAAAGAAAACGGAUGGGUUAAUACCCUGUUCGGAUGACGGUACCGUCAUAAGAAGCACCGGCUAACUACGUGCCAGCAGCCGCGGUAAUACGUAGGGUGCGAGCGUUAAUCGGAAUUACUGGGCGUAAAGCGUGCGCAGGCGGUUGAUUAAGACAGGCGUGAAAUCCCCGGGCUUAACCUGGGAACUGCGCUUGUGACUGGUCGGCUAGAGUACGGCAGAGGGGGGUGGAAUUCCACGUGUAGCAGUGAAAUGCGUAGAGAUGUGGAGGAACACCGAUGGCGAAGGCAGCCCCCUGGGCCGAUACUGACGCUCAUGCACGAAAGCGUGGGUAGCAAA